rnacentral:sRNA from 1 species
AUUAUUAUUUAUAUGUACAUUUACAUUUGGAGGUACUACUGGAG